rnacentral:lncRNA from 10 species
GACAGCCUCAGACUCAGGGCUGGGACCCUUGGGACUCAAAAGAGAGAAAAGGUGGAGAAAAGAGAAAGCUACUAUUUUCUUCAUUUUGCCCCUGCUAACAUCCAAUGCACUUAGGAGCCUCGAUGUCUGCUCUCCAAGAGAUGUCUGAUCUGAAAGCAUGUUGUGGUCCGCUACACACAAGAGCAAAAGAAGAGCAGGAAGGAGCUCAGUGCCAAGACCAUAGCCACAGGAAGAAAACCAGCUCUUAGGGCUGCAGCUCUAAAGACAGGCCAGGUCAUUACAGGAACGUCUGCUCCCUUAGCCUUGCCAGACAGAGGAGGGUUAAGAAAGGAACUGCUGACCCUGAUAUGCAAACUGCCACGAGUGCUUCCUGCCUUUCUAUCAGCAUCAGAUGGCUAGCGAUGGAUGGCUGUAAGAUUGAUGUAAUUAACAUUUUAUUUUCAGGGCCACAGUGCUGGUUGGGUGCACCAGACAAAUCAACCAACAGAUUAAAGAGUGAUGGAGAAAGCUGUGUUUUGGGCCUCAUUUGGGAACAGAAUGGAAGAGCUGAGGGUGGAAGGGACCUCAGCAAGUCUUCUGAUCCAUGUUUCAACCUUCAUUUCCCCGAUAACCUCAAGGAGAGAGUUGCUUUUCCUGUUCUUCAAAUGAGUUCCUUGAAUUCACACUCUAUUUCUUUGAAUUUGCACAGACUGUUGAGGAACAGGCGGCAGGGUCACUCUACCUCUGCUCAGACAAGCCUGGAAAAGAAAAAUUUUACAUAGAAGACUGAGCUGGAAGAGGCCUGGGAACUUGGGAAUUCCCACUUCCACACUGCCCACUCUAGUUCUCAAGAGGCGGCAGCUAUGCUGCAGUACAGACCACUGAAUUUAGAUUCAGGAAUCUGGGUUUAUAUCUCACUCCUCCUCUUACUUGCAAGUCACUUACCACACCAGGCCUCGGUUUCCUGGACAAUAAAAUGGGGAUAACGUUGCCCCAUGUGGUUGUUGGUGGUCAUGAAAUUAUGCACACGAGCACGCCUUGUAAUCUAGGUUAGACCUGCACUAACCUAGAUUAGCUGACCAGGGUGGAAGGUGGGAGGGGCAGGCUUCAGUGUGUGACUUACCUAGAGGCCAAGGGGAGUCACCAUGGAUAGGGCAGCACUUGUAAGUCCUCUGCUCUCUCA